rnacentral:rRNA from 1 species
UACGAAGGGGGCUAGCGUUGCUCGGAAUCACUGGGCGUAAAGGGUGCGUAGGCGGGUUUUUAAGUCAGAGGUGAAAUCCUGGAGCUCAACUCCAGAACUGCCUUUGAUACUGAAAGUCUUGAGUAUGGGAGAGGUGAGUGAAACUGCGAGUGUAGAGGUGAAAUUCGUAGAUAUUCGCAAGAACACCAGUGGCGAAGGCGGCUCACUGGCCCAUUACUGACGCUGAGGCACGAAAGCGUGGGGAGCAAACAGG